CAUGAUCUAUGCAACUUUUAAAAACCCUUUCCUGAAUUAUUGUGGAACUCUGGAAAAAUUUGUGAUUACUCUGCUGCUGGGAGGAGUAAAUGGCAGAAAUUUCCAGUUUGCUUCUAUGGAAUCUGCUGGUUGAAAAAUUUGCCCUUCCUUUUUCUGUAAUGGAAGACUGAGUCCAAAGUAGGUUGACAUCUAUGGUUGUGCAGUUAGAGAAGUCUCCUGGAGCAAAUGAAUCCUGUUUAGACCUUCGCAUGUAUGGAGGAUUCAGACAGGGUGAUAAUGAAAAUAAUGAGAAACACCGGUGUUCCGGUUUGCUAAAGCUGCCAAAAUGCA